rnacentral:rRNA from 1 species
AGUGAACGCUGGCGGUAGGCCUAACACAUGCAAGUCGAACGGCAGCACAGUAAGAGCUUGCUCUUACGGGUGGCGAGUGGCGGACGGGUGAGGAAUACAUCGGAAUCUACUUUUUCGUGGGGGAUAACGUAGGGAAACUUACGCUAAUACCGCAUACGACCUACGGGUGAAAGCAGUGGAUCUUCGGACCUUGCGCGAUUGAAUGAGCCGAUGUCGCAUUAGCUAGUUGGCGGGGUAAAGGCCCACCAAGGCGACGAUCCGUAGCUGGUCUGAGAGGAUGAUCAGCCACACUGGAACUGGGACGCGGUCCAGACUCCUACGGGAGGCAGCAGUGGGGAAUAUUGGACAAUGGGCGAAAGCCUGAUCCAGCCAUACCGCGUGGGUGAAGAAGGCCUUCGGGUUGUAAAGCCCUUUUGUUGGGAAAGAAGAGCAGCAGGUUAAUACCCCGCUGUUCUGACGGUACCCAAAGAAUAAGCACCGGCUAACUUCGUG